ACAGAACAGGCAGAGGCAGUUCAGGGGGGAUUCUGGUUGCCUUACCCAGCUCUGAAGUCUGUCAGCCUCUUCAGAUGUCACUUGCCCUGUGGUAAGGAAGUGUAGUCGGCAGCUGGUGCAGAGGCAAGAAGAGAAAGGAAGUUCCCCAAGAUGGAAACAUCUCAGCAGACUCCAUCAUGAAUUCAUGGCACCACACAGUCCCCUGAUGCUAUAACGUCAUGGAUUUCUUUUGUCCAGUGAGAGGCCCAAAAGCUGCAGCAUAGACAACAUCAUAGUGUAGAAGGUUAACUAGACCGUGAUCAUGGGCUACAUUCUCCGUACCAACUUCAUAACUCCAGUGAGAAAAUAAAUUCCUGCGUCCAGGAGAGGUGGAGUAAGCGAUACAGCUCACCUUGACCACAUUUCUUACUUCUGAGAAGAUUGUAGCAGUAAUUCAGGGGCUAUUAUUUGGGACAUUUCUAAUUCAGGAAACUUUCUUACCCCGUGAGCUUACAAUUCACCCCAUAGGAAUGAGAGCCUCAUUCAAAUUGAUAAUCUUAAGCGGGGCAUGGUGGCUCACACCUGUAAUCCCAGCACUUUGGGAGGCCGAGGGUGGCGGAUCACAAGGUCAGGAGAUUGAAACCAUCCUAGCUAACAUGGUGAAACCCUGUCUCUAAUAAAAUACAAAAAAUUAGCCGGGCAUGCUGGUGGGCGCCUGUAGUCCCAGCUACUUGGGAGGCUGAGGUAGGAGAAUGGCGUGAACCCAGGAGGCAGAGCUUGCAGUGAGCCGAGAUCAUGCCACUGCACUGCAGCCUGGGGGACAGAGUGAGACUGUCUC